rnacentral:rRNA from 1 species
GACGAACGCUGGCGGCGUGCUUAACACAUGCAAGUCGAACGGAAAGGCCCUGCUUUUGUGGGGUGCUCGAGUGGCAAACGGGUGAGUAACACGUGAGUAACCUGCCCUUGACUUUGGGAUAACUUCAGGAAACUGGGGCUAAUACCGGAUAGGAGCUCCUGCUGCAUGGUGGGGGUUGGAAAGUUUCGGCGGUUGGGGAUGGACUCGCGGCUUAUCCGCUUGUUGGUGGGGUAGUGGCUUACCACGGCUUUGACGGGUAGCCGGCCUGAGAGGGUGACCGGCCACAUUGGGACUGAGAUACGGCCCAGACUCCUACGGGAGGCAGCAGUGGGGAAUAUUGCACAAUGGGCGGAAGCCUGAUGCAGCAACGCCGCGUGCGGGAUGACGGCCUUCGGGUUGUAAACCGCUUUCGCCUGUGACGAAGCGUGAGUGACGGUAAUGGGUAAAGAAGCACCGGCUAACUACGUG